UCCUCCUUAGCUCAGUUGGUUAGAGCACCUGACUGUUAAUCAGGGGGUCGCUGGUUCAAGCCCAGCAGGAGGAG
rnacentral:tRNA from 1 species